GUGCUCACUUGGGCAGCACAAAUACUAAAAUUGGAACAAUAAAGAGAUUAGCCUUGUCCCUGUGCAAAGAUGACAUGCAAAUUUGUGAAGCGCUCCAUGUUUUU